GUGCGUAACGCGUGGGAAUCUGCCUUAGGUACGGAAUAACUCAGGGAAACUUGUGCUAAUACCGUAUGAUGUCGAGAGACCAAAGAUUAUCGACUAGGGAUGAGCCCGCGUAGGAUUAGCUAGUUGGUGGGGUAAAGGCCUACCACGGCUACGAUCCUUAGCUGGUCUGAGAGGAUGAUCAGACACACUGGGACUGAGACACGGACCAGACUCCUACGGGAGGCAGCAGUGGGGAAUAUUGGACAAUGGGCGAAAGCCUGAUCCAGCAAUGCCGCGUGAGUGACGAAGGCCUUCGGGUUGUAAAGCUCUUUUACCCGGGAAGAUAAUGACUGUACCGGGAGAAUACCCCCGGCUAACUCC
rnacentral:rRNA from 1 species